AGUGGCGGACGGGUGAGUAACGCGUGGGUAACCUGCCUUAUACCGGGGGGACAACAGCUGGAAACGGCUGCUAAUACCGCAUAAGCGCACAGAUAGGCAUCUAUCAGUGUGAAAAACUCCGGUGGUAUAAGAUCGGACCCGCGUCUGAUUAGCCAGUUGGCGGUGUAACGGACCACCAAAGCGACGAUCAGUAGCCGGCCUGAGAGGGCAAACGGCCACAUUGGGACUGAGACACGGCCCAAACUCCUACGGGAGGCAGCAGGUGGGGAAUAUUGCACAAUGGAAGGAAACUCUGAUGCAACGCGACCGCCGCGUGAGUGAAGAAGUAUCUCGGUAUAGUAAAGCUCUAUCAGCAAGGAAAAGAAAAUGACCGGUACCUGAACUAAGAACGCCCCGGCUAACUACGUGCCAGCAGCGGC
rnacentral:rRNA from 1 species